AACGUACGCUUGCGGCACGCCUAACACAUGCAAGUCGAACGAAGUAGCAAUACUUAGUGGCAGACGGGUGAGUAACAUGUAGGUAUCUGCCCUUUGGCCUGGAAUAACACGAGGAAACUUGUGCGAAUACCGGAUAAGUCUUUACGGAGAAAGCUUUAUGCACCAUUGGAUGAGCCUGCACUUGAUUAGUUUGUUGGUGGGGUAAUGGCCUACCAAGACUGUGAUCAAUAGCUGAUUUGAGAGGAUGAUCAGCCACAUUGGGACUGAGACACGGCCCAAACUCCUACGGGAGGCAGCAGUGGGGAAUCUUGCACAAUGGAGGAAACUCUGAUGCAGCGAUGCCGCGUGAGUGAAGAAGGCCUUUGGGUUGUAAAGCUCUUUCGUCGGGGAAGAAAAUGACUGUACCCGAAUAAGAAGGUCCGGCUAACUUCGUGCCAGCAGCCGCGGUAAUACGAAGGGACCUAGCGUAGUUCGGAAUUACUGGGCUUAAAGAGUUCGUAGGUGGUUGAAAAAGUUAGUGGUGAAAUCCCAGAGCUUAACUCUGGAACUGCCAUUAAAACUUUUCAGCUAGAGUAUGAUAGAGGAAAGCAGAAUUUCUAGUGUAGAGGUGAAAUUCGUAGAUAUUAGAAAGAAUACCAAUUGCGAAGGCAGCUUUCUGGAUCAUUACUGACACUGAGGAACGAAAGCAUGGGUAGCGAAGAGGAUUAGAUACCCUCGUAGUCCAUGCCGUAAACGAUGUGUGUUAGACGUUGGAAAUUUAUUUUCAGUGUCGCAGGGAAACCGAUAAACACACCGCCUGGGGAGUACGACCGCAAGGUUAAAACUCAAAUGAAUUGACGGGGACCCGCACAAGUAGUGGAGCAUGUGGUUUAAUUCGAAGAUACGCGCAGAACCUUACCAACACUUGACAUGUUCGUCGCGACUCUAAGAGAUUAGAGUUUUCGGUUCGGCCGGACGAAACACAGGUGCUGCAUGGCUGUUGUCAGCUCGUGUCGUGAGAUGUUGGGUUAAGUCCCGCAACGAGCGCAACCCUCACUUUUAGUUGCCAUCAUUAAGUUGGGCACUCUGAAAGAACUGCCAGUGAUAAGCUGGAGGAAGGUGGGGAUGACGUCAAGUCCUCAUGGCCCUUACGUGUUGGGCUACACACGUGCUACAAUGGUAUCUACAACAGGAAGCACAGCCUGCGAAGUUAAGCAAAUCCCUAAAAGAUACCUCAGUUCGGAUUGCACUCUGCAACUCGAG
rnacentral:rRNA from 1 species